AGUAAUCUGUUGACCCCACAGUAAUUAUCAGGAACAGUCUUUGGAAACCCUCUCCCCAACCUUACCUCCAUUUUCCUCCCCUGGAUACCAUCGUCUUCUUUUUCCUCAUGAUAGUGUUUUCUGAUGAGCCAUCAUUGCCACUGCAUUUGAUUUAGUAUAUGAUAUGGUCUGUUAUCCAGCUAUUUUUCACAGUCCGUAGUGAAUCCUAUUACGUCUCUUUAGUGUUUGGUGAACCUCUGUGAACUUAUCACAGAGUCUGUUGACCUCUAUUAGCUAUCAGACAGUACCUUUGAUUCUACCAUCAGCCUUACAGCUCAGUGCUUUGGAAUGGCCAUAGUGCCUUUUAAGGUCAUUGAUACAGUCUUCAUUUCCUCCAUCUAAGACAAGGUCUGAUGAUCCUCCAUUUUCCUGUCCCCCAUCUGUGACUCCUUUCCUUAUAGUGUCUGAUCACCCAUUCUCUCAAGCUAAGACAGCCUGUUCAUUGCCAUUGUGUACCUGAGACCUGCAGUCCUCAAUGCAGUACAUACUGACUUCCCCAUUAGUCUCUAGAAGAGUCUUGUGCUCUGCACCGUCUAGAACAGUGUGCACUGUCUGCUCACUGCAGUGCGUCUCAGACCUUGGUGCUCGACUGUGAGAUAAGCAAUAGGAGAUUCUCAGCAGAAAAGGGUUAGUGUCAUUGCACUAUUUCAUAAAAACUGGGAUUCAGGGAGCCUUGGGAGCUUAGAGAUGGAAUUUUAUAUGUCCUCUACCACUCUGCUUUCAGGCUGUCAUUACUAGACCUCUGAAUUUUUCCUUUGCCCUCUGCUAGGAGGCCUAUGGCACCUGCCCAGUCCUACCUCAGCCCAUCUUGAAAAAAUCCUUAGACAACAUGGAACCACCACGAGGCCCUCCUGCUAGUGGGGCUGAGCCAUCUCGGGCAGUUGGCACUGUCAAAGUGUACCUGCCUAACAAGCAACGCACAGUGGUGACUGUCCGGGAUGGCAUGAGUGUCUAUGACUCUUUGGACAAGGCCCUCAAGGUGCGGGGUCUCAAUCAGGACUGCUGUGUGGUCUACAG
rnacentral:lncRNA from 1 species